rnacentral:lncRNA from 1 species
AGAGCAUUUGCUCCACCGAUCUCUGCUGCUUGUGCCAGAUUAAAAAGUGCCUGGGAACUGAAAGAGGCAUCUUGGGCAGGAAGAAAAACCAGCUACUCUUUGUGGGGAAAAGCAAGAGAGAUCAGAUUGUUACUGUGUCUGUAUAGAAAGAAGUAGACAUAGGAGACUCCAUUUUGUUCUGUACUAAGAAAAAUUCUUCUGCCUUGAGAUUCUGUUAAUCUAUGACCUUACCCCCAACCCCGUGCUCUCUGGAACAUGUGCUGUGUCAAACUCAGGGUUAAAUGGAUUAAGGGCGGUGCAAGAUGUGCUUUGUUAAACAAAUGCUUGAAGGCAGCAUGCUCCUUAAGAGUCAUCACCACUCCCUAAUCUCAAGUACCCAGGGACACAAAAACUGCGAAGGCCGCAGGGACCUCUGCCUAGGAAAGCCAGGUAUUGUCCAAGGUUUCUCCCCAUGUGAUAGUCUGAAAUAUGGCCUCGUGGGAAGGGAAAGACCUGACCGUCCCCCAGCCCGGCACCCAUAAAGGGUCUGUGCUGAGGAGGAUUAGUAUAAGAGGAAGGCAUGCCUCUUGCAGUUGAGACAAGAGGAAGGCAUCUGUCUCCUACCCGUCCCUGGGCAAUGGAAUGUCUUGGUAUAAAACCCGAUUGUACGUUCCAUCUACUGAGACAGGGGAAAAACCGCCUUAGGGCUGGAGGUGGGACCUGCGGGCAGCAAUACUGCUUUGUAAAGCAUUGAGAUGUUUAUGUGUAUGCAUAUCUAAAAGCACAGCACUUGAUUCUUUACCUUGUCUAUGAUGCAAAGACCUUUGUUCACGUGUUUGUCUGCUGACCCUCUCCCCACUAUUGUCUUGUGACCCUGACACAUCCCCCUCUCGGAGAAACACCCACGAAUGAUCAAUAAAUACUAAGGGAACUCAGAGGCUGGCAGGAUCCUCCAUAUGCUCAACGCUGGUUCCCUGGGUCCCCUUAUUUCUUUCUCUAUACUUUGUCUCUGUGUCUUUUUCUUUUCCAAGUCUCUCGUUCCACCUUACGAGAAACACCCACAGGUGUGGAGGGGCAACCCACCCCUUCACUCUUUAUCUCCAACACUGGCUAUUCCCAACUGACCUGGGAGUUUUAGGAAAGCCUACCUGGUGUAUCUGUUUCUUUAUGCCUACAGAGAAAGAUCAUCUGGUUAUUUUUCUAGAAAAAAAAAAGGCAUGGUGGGGGGACGGUGGGCUAGAGUAAAGGACCUUAUUUCUAGCAGCAUUCCCCUCCAUAUAACUACAUAAUUUCAGCCUUGAGAUUCUAUUUUAUCAAAUGUCCCCAAAGACAUAUUCCAGAGAAAUAGGAUUGUUUAAAGUGGGCCCUCCUGGCCUUCCACAAUCGGCUAUUCUCCCAGGACAUUACCCAUGGCCCUUUUUCCCUCCCAGCAAUAUCUGUUCUCCUAAUCUCACUAAGAAAUCCAGGCCAGCUGGUGAUUUCAGGCUCC